AUUGAACGCUGGCGGCAUGCUUUACACAUGCAAGUCGAACGGCAGCGCGGGCUUCGGCCUGGCGGCGAGUGGCGAACGGGUGAGUAAUGCAUCGGAACGUGCCCAGUAGUGGGGGAUAGCCCGGCGAAAGCCGGAUUAAUACCGCAUACGACCUGAGGGUGAAAGCGGGGGACCGAAAGGCCUCGCGCUAUUGGAGCGGCCGAUGUCGGAUUAGCUAGUUGGUGGGGUAAAGGCUUACCAAGGCGACGAUCCGUAGCUGGUCUGAGAGGACGACCAGCCACACUGGGCCUGAGACACGGCCCAGACUCCUACGGGAGGCGGCAGUGGGGAAUUUUGGACAAUGGGGGCAACCCUGAUCCAGCCAUGCCGCGUGCGGGAAGAAGGCCUUCGGGUUGUAAACCGCUUUUGUUCGGGAAGAAAUCCUCUGGGCUAAUACCCCGGGGGAUGACGGUACCGGAAGAAUAAGCACCGGCUAACUACGUG
rnacentral:rRNA from 1 species